CUCCAGACUCCUACGGGAGGCAGCAGUGGGGAAUAUUGCACAAUGGGGGAAACCCUGAUGCAGCGACGCCGCGUGAGUGAAGAAGUAUUUCGGUAUGUAAAGCUCUAUCAGCAGGGAAGAAAAUGACGGUACCUGACUAAGAAGCCCCGGCUAACUACGUGCCAGUAGCCGCGGUAAUACGUAGGGGGCAAGCGUUAUCCGGAUUUACUGGGUGUAAAGGGAGCGUAGACGGCAUGGCAAGUCAGAUGUGAAAGCCCGGGGCUCAACCCCGGGACUGCAUUUGAAACUGUCAGGCUGGAGUGCAGGAGAGGUAAGUGGAAUUCCUAGUGUAGCGGUGAAAUGCGUAGAUAUUAGGAGGAACACCAGUGGCGAAGGCGGCCUGCUGGACGAUGACUGACGUUGAGGCUCGAAAGCGUGGGGAGCAAACAGGAUUAGAUACCCUAGUAU
rnacentral:rRNA from 1 species